AAUAGAUACCCGGUAGUCCAUGCCGUAAACGAUGUCUACUAGCCGUUGGGGCCCUUGAGGCUUUAGUGGCGCAGCUAACGCGAUAAGUAGACCGCCUGGGGAGUACGGUCGCAAGACUAAAACUCAAAUGAAUUGACGGGGGCCCGCACAAGCGGUGGAGCAUGUGGUUUAAUUCGAUGCAACGCGAAGAACCUUACCUGGCCUUAACAUACAGAGAACUUUCCAGAGAUGGAUUGGUGCCUUCGGGAACUCUGAUACAGGUGCUGCAUGGCUGUCGUCAGCUCGUGUCGUGAGAUGUUGGGUUAAGUCCCGCAACGAGCGCAACCCUUUUCCUUAUUUGCCAGCACUUCGGGUGGGAACUUUAAGGAUACUGCCAGUGACAAACUGGAGGAAGGCGGGGACGGCGUCAAGUCAUCAUGGCCCUUACGGCCAGGGCUACACACGUGCUACAAUGGUCGGUACAAGGGUUGCUACUGCGCGAGCAGAUGCUAAUCUCAAAAAGCCGAUCGUAGUCCGGAUCGCAGU
rnacentral:rRNA from 1 species